ACGUGGGUGACCCCAUAGGGUCGUGGUGGCCCCAUAGGGACGUGGUGGCCCCAUAGGGAUGUGGGUGGCCCCAUAGGGACGUGGUGGCCCCAUAGCGACGUGGGUGGCCCCCCCAGGAUGCUGGCGGCCCCAUAAGUGUGGGGCGCGGUGCGGGGGGGCGGUGUGGGGCGGUUGUGGGUCGGGGCGCGACGCUGUUGGCUGCUAAUAAAAAGAGAGAGCGACCGCACGCCUCCGCCCCACGGAUGGACCCACAGCGCUGCCCCAUAGCGACCCACAGAGACCCACCGAGCCCCAUAGAUCCCAUAGNGAGGAGGAAGGGGUUGGGGGCAGCCAGGAGGAGCUUGGUGGCAUCUUGGAGGAGUUUGGGGACAAGUAAGGGGACCUUGGUGGCAUCUCAGAGGGGUUGGGGUCACCCAAGAGGAGCUUGGUGGCAUCUUGGAGGACCUUGGUGGCAUCUUGGAGGACCUUGGGGUCAUCCAGGAGGAGCUUGGGGACACCUAAAGGGACCUUGGUGGCAUCUUGGAGGACCUUGGUGGCAUCUUGGA
rnacentral:lncRNA from 1 species